GGAGGUGCAAAAUAUUUAGUAGAAUUCUCCUUACAUUUCCUUGUUUACAGUUGAGUCACAUGCUUCAGGGGAGCCUGAGAAAGAGAAUAUUUGGCAUUUUUUUGCCUCUGGACGGGGAGGCAGGUUCUGAUCAGCAGGGAGAAAGAGACGGGGCAAGUAGCUGCUGUGUAAGAGGGUCAGUGCACUCUGUGACCCACACUCCCAGUUACCAUGACAAGCAAGGGACACUAGCCACAGAGCCAACUUAGUAGCUCUUUGACCUAAUUGGCACUCCUUUUCCCUUAGCAAAUCUGUUUCAGGAAAGAGCACACUUUGGAACCUUGAUGGCGACAAGACGCGCUCUCUACACAGCAAAAUCCAAAUGUUCAUUCAACAGAUUUACACAGAGCCCCUGAAUACUUGGUGGGUGUUGUGCUAGCCCCUAAGGAUAUAGUAAUGGUUAACACAGCAAGCUCUUGUCAUCAAGGAACUUCGAGUCUUAGCAGAAGAUGCAGACAGGUAGAUAGGCAACUCUGUAAGAGUGACCCAAACUGCUGCUGUUUAGGUUAUGAGAGGUGGUGUUGGGGAUAUUGCAGGAGGCGUCCUGGGGAAAAUAACAUCUAAGCUAAGACCCAAAAGAUAUUAGCUAGAAGAAAGGUAGUGUGUGUAUGUGCGUGUGCGUGUGUGUGUGUGUGUGUGUGUGUGUGUGUUUCCAUGCAUGGUUGCAGGAUGACUACACUUUCCAGGUAAGGGGAAUAUGAAAUAGUUUAUCAAGGCUGUAGUUACAGUGCAAGGGAGGAAUUGUCAGAGAUACAACCCUGAACUUCACCUUCAAAAAAAGCAAUUUAGAGUUACAUUCAUAUUAGCAUUUCCCCCUUAAGACCUUUCACUUAAAAUAUGAAUGCACUGAAUGUAUUUUCCCUUUGCUAAACUAAUAAGACACAACUAUUAAAACUCAGGAAAUUGAUUUUUGGUUCCCAGUCUCCAGUGACAUUAGGUAUCAACUUUCUGUCUUCAUAGGCUGGAACCAUUUCUUGGAAUUGAAUUUAUAAAGACUUCUUUUGCUCUGUCCGAAUUGAAUUUAUAAAGACUUCUUUUGCUCUGUCCAUCUCAUGUUUCCAAAUCUUGAUUUUGCUUUGCUUUUUUAUGCCUACUAAGUGGGUGAGUAUAGCCAGUAAAGACCACUCUCUCCCUUGAGAUGGAGUCCAGAGUUCCAGCCUACAUCUUGUAAGAUGUCCCACCCACAUGAACUUCAAAGUUACCUUGGUGUGUCUAAUUUUAAGUUAUCAGAGACUGAGCCUGUGUUGAUUAUUUUUUUUUCUUUUUUGGCUGUGUUUUAGGAUAAUGAGCUAUCAGAAACCGGGGAUAUUGGCUUAACACUAGCAGGAGUAAUCAAAUCUCCCACCCUUCCCUCUGGAUCCCCACUCUCCGGAAAGAGUGACAUGAACAUAUUCCCCGCUCUCUUGGAGCUUCCUUAUUCAAUACAAGACCAGGGUAAGCUGAAUGAGCACAAGAACUUAACAUCCCAGCCAUUGUAACUUUGAAAAAGUGUCCAACAUGGACCCACAACAUUGCUGAGUGAAAUUUCAGUCAACUAGCGUGUAUGAUUUUAUCAAGUUGGCAUCACCACAAUGCAGAGAGUAUGCACUUUGAACGUCUUUCUGAAGCUGCGGCUGGUACCCUGCCGAUGUAUUGCUACUCUUUGAGCUGCAGACAAGGAGAAUGCAAUGUGAAUAAAGAGCAGAGAACUGAGGUCUGUGUCUACACAAGGAAUCCCAAAGAUUGCAAUAAAACCACCAGAACCAAGUUGAGAGGCAUGGAGCAGAUUCUCCCUCACAGCCCUCAGAACCAACCAACCUGCUGACCCUUUGGUCUUGGAUUUCUAGCCUCCCAAACAGUUGCCUUUUCAUUUUCUUGAUGGCUUCUUUUGCUCAACACCCAAAAAUGAGUAACCCGAUUAAAAAAUGGACAGAAGACAUGAAUAGAUAUUUCUCCAAAGAAGACCAACAGAUGGCCAGUGGACACAGGAAAAGAUAUUCAUCAUCACUUAUCAGAGAAGAUCAAAUCAAAAUCACAAUGAGAUAUCACCGCACACCUGUCAAAAUGGCUCAAGACAACAACAUAAAAAACAACAGGUGUUGGCAAAGAUGUGGAGAAAAAGGAACCCUCGUGCGCUGUUGGUGGGAAACGCAAACUGGGGAAGCCACUUCAGAAAACAGAGUGGAGGUUAAAACAAACAGUUAAAGAUAGAACUACAUUAUGAUCCCACACUAUUGGGUAUUUACCCAAAGAAGAAGAAAAAAUACUAAUUCAAAGGGAUACAUGCACCCCUAUGUUUAUAGUAGCACAUUAUCUACACUAGCCAAGAUCUGGAAGCAACCCAAGCGUCCAUCAGUUGAUGGAUGGGUAAAGAAGAUGUGACAUCUAUACAAUGGGAUGUUAUUCAAUCAUGAGAAAGAGUGAAAUCUGGCCAUUUACAACUACAUAAAUUGAGCUGGAGGGCAUAAUGCCAAGUGAAAUAAGUCAGUCAGAAAAAGACAAAUACCAAAUGAUUUCACUCAUAUGUGGAGCUUAAGAAACACAGGAGGAGAAGAAGAGACAAAACACCAGACCCUUAACCAUAGAGAACAAACUGAUGGUUCCAGAGGGGAGGCGGGUGGGGCGAAGGCGGGAACAGGUGAAGGGGAUGAAGAAAACGCCUCUCCCGUUGAGCAUGGAGUAGUGCACAGAACGGCUGAAUCACUAUAGUACACGAAUAUAAUACUAUAGAAACUAACAGGAUACUAUGGCAACUACGCUGGAAUUAAAAUUUUAAAAAUUAAAAAAUAAAAGUUUAUUUUAAAGUAAAAAAAUAAGGACACGUGACGUAAUU